rnacentral:rRNA from 1 species
AGUCGAACGAGAAAGUGGAGCAAUCCAUGAGUACAGUGGCGUACGGGUGAGUAACACGUGGAUCAUCUACCUUUUAGUGGGGAAUAACCUUGGGAAACCGAGGAUAAUACCGCAUAAGCCCGAGAGGGGAAAGCAGCAAUGCGCUGAAAGAGGAGUCCGCGGCCGAUUAGCUAGUUGGCAGGGUAAAAGCCUACCAAGGCAUCGAUCGGUAGCCGGCCUGAGAGGGCACACGGCCACACUGGCACUGAAACACGGGCCAGACUCCUACGGGAGGCAGCAGUGGGGAAUCUUGCACAAUGGGGGAAACCCUGAUGCAGCGACGCCGCGUGAGCGAUGAAGCCCUUCGGGGUGUAAAGCUCUUUCGGCAGGGAAGAUUAUGACGGUACCUGCAGAAGCAGCUGCGGCUAACUACGUGCCAGCAGCCGCGGUAAUACGUAGGCAGCAAGCGUUGUUCGGAGUUACUGGGCGUAAAGGGUGUGUAGGCGGUUGUUUAAGUUUGGUGUGAAAUCUCCCGGCUCAACUGGGAGGGUGCGCCGAAUACUGAAUGACUUCGAGUGCGGGAGAGGAAAGUGGAAUUCCUGGUGUAGCGGUGAAAUGCGUAGAUAUCAGGAGGAACACCGGUGGUGUAGACGGCUUUCUGGACCGUAACUGACGCUGAGACACGAAAGCGUGGGUAGCAAACAGGAUUAGAUACCCUGGUAGUCCACGCCCUAAACGAUGCAUAUUUGGUGUGGGCAGUUCAUUCUGUCCGUGCCGGAGCUAACGCGUUAAAUAUGCCGCCUGGGGAGUACAGUCGCAAGGCUGAAACUCAAAGGAAUUGACGGGGGCCCGCACAAGCGGUGGAGCAUGUGGUUCAAUUCGACGCAACGCGAAGAACCUUACCUGGGCUCGAACGGCUGGUUAACGGCGUUGGAAACAGCGCUACCCC